rnacentral:rRNA from 1 species
AGUGAACGCUGGCGGCGUGCCUAAUACAUGCAAGUCGAGCGGAAACACAGUAAGCUUUUGCCUUUAAGGGUGGCGGCUGACGGAUGAGUGACACAUGGAUAGGCUUCCUAUUAUACGUGGGGAACUACGUGAAACCACUGCUACUACUACAGAAUAUGUUCAACGGCAUGGUGCAAUAGUUAAUGGGGCUUUUGGUGAUUCAUUGAGAUGAUUCCGCGCCGCAUUAGCUAGUUGGUAAGGUAACGGCUCACCAAGGCAACGAUGCGUAGCUGAGCUGAGAGGAUGAUCGGCCACACUGGAACUGAGACACGGUCCAGACUCCUACGGGAGGCAGCAGUAGGGAAUCUUGGGCAAUGGGCGCAAGCCUGAUCCAGCCACACCGCGUGAGUGAUGAAGGCCUUCGGGUUGUAAAACCCUUUUAUUGGGAAAGAAAAGCUGCAUAUUAAAACCCCGCUGUUCUGACGGUACCCAAUGAGAAAGCACCGGCUAACUUCGUG